UACGGAGGGGCCGAGCGUUGUCCGGAAUCACUGGGUUUAAAGCGUCCGUAGGCGGGACAUUAAGUCAGGGGUGAAAUGUUGCAGCUCAACUGCAGAAUUGCCUUUGAUACUGGUGUUCUUGAGUUAUGUUGCUGUGGUCGGAACAUGUGGUGUAGCGGUGAAAUGCAUAGAUAUCACAAAGAACGCCGAUUGCGAAGGCAGGUCACAAGGCAUGUUCUGACGCUGAGGGGCGAAAGCGUGGGGAGCGAACUGG
rnacentral:rRNA from 1 species